rfam:Haemophilus somnus 2336, complete genome.
GUCGGGAGGGCGACUAAUACAAUACCGAAAGGAAAUACGUCCAGCCCUUACCUUAGAGUGGGUUUUCGAACCUCCCGACGCCACUGU